rnacentral:rRNA from 1 species
AUGGAUAAUUCAUGGAUUCCAUGUGGGAGUGAGGCAACAAGGUUCGCUAUUCAUUGCCCAUAUCAUAGGUGUAGGUGGAGGCUGCAUGCAUCCCAUAUGCUAAAGAGCAAAUUGAUUCAGAUAAAAACACACUUCACCUGGAGGGGGAGGGGAAAGACCAAAACAAAGCUAGCAAAGACUAGGUGGGUGGCAGAUUCAAUCUUGGAUUGGCUGAGAGAAACACCAACUCUUGGUCCAACAACACUCCAUGGGAGGCUUUUUGAGGAGUACAAAAUUGAUAUACCUUACAUGAGGAUUUUUUAUGGUAGGGAAAUGGCUCUUGACAGGAUACAUGGUCCAUGGAAUGAGAGUUUUUAG